rnacentral:tRNA from 1 species
GGUAAGAUGGCCGAGUGCUCAGGCGGUGGGCUGUAGUCCCGCAUACAGAGGUUCGACUCCUCUUCCUACCA